GAUUAAGUUAUUAAGGGCGCACGGUGGAUGCCUUGGCACUAGAAGCCGAUGAAGGACGUUACUAACGACGAUAUGCUUUGGGGAGCUGUAAGUAAGCUUUGAUCCAGAGAUUUCCGAAUGGGGAAACCCAGCAUGAGUUAUGUCAUGUUAUCGAUAUGUGAAUACAUAGCAUAUCAGAAGGCACACCCGGAGAACUGAAACAUCUUAGUACCCGGAGGAAGAGAAAGAAAAUUCGAUUCCCUUAGUAGCGGCGAGCGAAACGGGAAGAGCCCAAACCAACAAGCUUGCUUGUUGGGGUUGUAGGACACUCUAUACGGAGUUACAAAGGACGACAUUAGACGAAUCAUCUGGAAAGAUGAAUCAAAGAAGGUAAUAAUCCUGUAGUCGAAAAUGUUGUCUCUCUUGAGUGGAUCCUGAGUACGACGGAGCACGUGAAAUUCCGUCGGAAUCUGGGAGGACCAUCUCCUAAGGCUAAAUACUCUCUAGUGACCGAUAGUGAACCAGUACCGUGAGGGAAAGGUGAAAAGCACCCCGGAAGGGGAGUGAAAUAGAACCUGAAACCGUGUGCUUACAAGUAGUCAGAGCCCGUUAAUGGGUGAUGGCGUGCCUUUUGUAGAAUGAACCGGCGAGUUACGAUUUGAUGCAAGGUUAAGCAGUAAAUGUGGAGCCGUAGCGAAAGCGAGUCUGAAUAGGGCGUUUAGUAUUUGGUCGUAGACCCGAAACCAGGUGAUCUACCCUUGGUCAGGUUGAAGUUCAGGUAACACUGAAUGGAGGACCGAACCGACUUACGUUGAAAAGUGAGCGGAUGAACUGAGGGUAGCGGAGAAAUUCCAAUCGAACCUGGAGAUAGCUGGUUCUCUCCGAAAUAGCUUUAGGGCUAGCCUCAAGUGAUGAUUAUUGGAGGUAGAGCACUGUUUGGACGAGGGGCCCCUCUCGGGUUACCGAAUUCAGACAAACUCCGAAUGCCAAUUAAUUUAACUUGGGAGUCAGAACAUGGGUGAUAAGGUCCGUGUUCGAAAGGGAAACAGCCCAGACCACCAGCUAAGGUCCCAAAAUAUAUGUUAAGUGGAAAAGGAUGUGGCGUUGCCCAGACAACUAGGAUGUUGGCUUAGAAGCAGCCAUCAUUUAAAGAGUGCGUAAUAGCUCACUAGUCGAGUGACACUGCGCCGAAAAUGUACCGGGGCUAAACAUAUUACCGAAGCUGUGGAUUGUCCUUUGGACAAUGGUAGGAGAGCGUUCUAAGGGCGUUGAAGCAUGAUCGUAAGGACAUGUGGAGCGCUUAGAAGUGAGAAUGCCGGUGUGAGUAGCGAAAGACGGGUGAGAAUCCCGUCCACCGAUUGACUAAGGUUUCCAGAGGAAGGCUCGUCCGCUCUGGGUUAGUCGGGUCCUAAGCUGAGGCCGACAGGCGUAGGCGAUGGAUAACAGGUUGAUAUUCCUGUACCACCUAUAAUCGUUUUAAUCGAUGGGGGGACGCAGUAGGAUAGGCGAAGCGUGCGAUUGGAUUGCACGUCUAAGCAGUAAGGCUGAGUAUUAGGCAAAUCCGGUACUCGUUAAGGCUGAGCUGUGAUGGGGAGAAGACAUUGNNNNNNNNNNNNNNNNNNNNNNNNNNNNNNNNNNNNNNNNNNNNNNNNNNNNNNNNNNNNNNNNNNNNNNNNNNNNNNNNNNNNNNNNNNNNNNNNNNNNGUCUUCGAGUCGUUGAUUUCACACUGCCGAGAAAAGCCUCUAGAUAGAAAAUAGGUGCCCGUACCGCAAACCGACACAGGUAGUCAAGAUGAGAAUUCUAAGGUGAGCGAGCGAACUCUCGUUAAGGAACUCGGCAAAAUGACCCCGUAACUUCGGGAGAAGGGGUGCUCUUUAGGGUUAACGCCCAGAAGAGCCGCAGUGAAUAGGCCCAAGCGACUGUUUAUCAAAAACACAGGUCUCUGCUAAACCGUAAGGUGAUGUAUAGGGGCUGACGCCUGCCCGGUGCUGGAAGGUUAAGAGGAGUGGUUAGCUUCUGCGAAGCUACGAAUCGAAGCCCCAGUAAACGGCGGCCGUAACUAUAACGGUCCUAAGGUAGCGAAAUUCCUUGUCGGGUAAGUUCCGACCCGCACGAAAGGCGUAACGAUUUGGGCACUGUCUCAACGAGAGACUCGGUGAAAUCAUAGUACCUGUGAAGAUGCAGGUUACCCGCGACAGGACGGAAAGACCCCGUGGAGCUUUACUGUAGCCUGAUAUUGAAAUUCGGCACAGCUUGUACAGGAUAGGUAGGAGCCUUUGAAACGUGAGCGCUAGCUUACGUGGAGGCGCUGGUGGGAUACUACCCUAGCUGUGUUGGCUUUCUAACCCGCACCACUUAUCGUGGUGGGAGACAGUGUCAGGCGGGCAGUUUGACUGGGGCGGUCGCCUCCUAAAAGGUAACGGAGGCGCUCAAAGGUUCCCUCAGAAUGGUUGGAAAUCAUUCAUAGAGUGUAAAGGCAUAAGGGAGCUUGACUGCGAGACCUACAAGUCGAGCAGGGUCGAAAGACGGACUUAGUGAUCCGGUGGUUCCGCAUGGAAGGGCCAUCGCUCAACGGAUAAAAGCUACCCCGGGGAUAACAGGCUUAUCUCCCCCAAGAGUUCACAUCGACGGGGAGGUUUGGCACCUCGAUGUCGGCUCAUCGCAUCCUGGGGCUGUAGUCGGUCCCAAGGGUUGGGCUGUUCGCCCAUUAAAGCGGUACGCGAGCUGGGUUCAGAACGUCGUGAGACAGUUCGGUCCCUAUCCGUCGUGGGCGUAGGAAAUUUGAGAGGAGCUGUCCUUAGUACGAGAGGACCGGGAUGGACAUACCUCUGGUGUACCAGUUGUCGUGCCAACGGCAUAGCUGGGUAGCUAUGUGUGGACGGGAUAAGUGCUGAAAGCAUCUAAGCAUGAAGCCCCCCUCAAGAUGAGAUUUCCCAACUUCGGUUAUAAGAUCCCUCAAAGAUGAUGAGGUUAAUAGGUUCGAGGUGGAAGCAUGGUGACAUGUGGAGCUGACGAAUACUAAUCGAUCGAAGACUUAAUCAA
rnacentral:rRNA from 1 species